rnacentral:rRNA from 1 species
UGGGGAAUAUUGCACAAUGGGCGCAAGCCUGAUGCAGCCAUGCCGCGUGUAUGAAGAAGGCCUUCGGGUUGUAAAGUACUUUCAGUCGGGAGGAAGGUGUCAAGGUUAAUAACCUUGGCAAUUGACGUUACCGACAGAAGAAGCAUCGGCUAACUCCGUGCCAGCAGCCGCGGUAAUACGGAGGGUGCAAGCGUUAAUCGGAAUUACUGGGCGUAAAGCGCACGCAGGCGGUUGAUUGAGUCAGAUGUGAAAUCCCCGGGCUUAACCCGGGAAUUGCAUCUAAUACUGGUCAGCUAGAGUCUUGUAGAGGGGGGUAGAAUUCCAUGUGUAGCGGUGAAAUGCGUAGAGAUCUGGAGGAAUACCGGUGGCGAAGGCGGCCCCCUGGACAAAGACUGACGCUCAGGUGCGAAAGCGUGGGGAGCAAACAGG